GCAUUGGUAGUGUAGUGGUAUCACGGGACGUUGCCAUCCCGCCUUCGAUCAAGGCUUUACCACGAAUUCGUCCCGACCGGGGUUCGAUUCCCCGUCAAUGCA
rfam:Tstilago maydis 521 chromosome 7, whole genome shotgun sequence.